rnacentral:misc_RNA from 1 species
GAGAUUUGCAGCAUUCUUUUAUAUUUGAUGUCCAUUAAUCUUGGUCAUAUAUCAUUAAACGAAGCUAAUGAUCAAUUAAUGCUUACAACUCCUGUUUAGAUCUGCUUUACAUCCAGGGAAAAUCAGAGCUGUGUAAUUUUUUUUUCCUUUUACAGCUCUAAGACAUUGAAAACCCAGAAACAGUAGCACUUAUCAAUCUCCUAGAAUGUGAUAUGGAACACAAACCUACCUUCGACAAAACAAAUUAAGAUAUGGGCAUUUCUUUCUUCUUCUUAUUCCUCCUCCUCUUUGCAUGUACGGUUAACAAGAAUAAUUAUUCUUCUUCAUGAUGAUAUAACUAACUGUGUCGAUGGUACAAACUUCCUUUCAACUAACUCUUCAGGCUCAAACUUGACGUCGUUUAUGUCAAGAAGUGGCUUGAUAUCGUCGCAUUCAUUAACAUAAGGCUGCUUGACAUUAUGCAAGGAUGGCGAUGAUGAUGAUGAAACAACGUGAGUAGAAUCCUGGAUGGUCAAGGCUGCAGUUUCAUUGACAAGGUGUUCUUGCAGUUGUUGAUCAUGAUCUGGAACCACAAAUUCUUGUUCCUCUUCUUGCGUUUGUGGAUAAUGAUAUUGCAUCAUCGUGGGAUCAUAAAUAUCCAAAGAAUCUUGAUUAACAAUCUCACAUUCAAGCGUUGUUGAAUCAUCGGUUUCUAGCAUCUGGAAGUGAGUUUGUUGGUGAGCUUGAGCUCGACAAAUGGCUAGUUGAUUAAGAACAAGAUCAAGCUCAGCCUUGUGGUAUUCGAUUUGGCGUUGAAGCUCACGAAUGAUUCGAUAACAGCCUCCAACGGGAUCACUGGCCCGAACAUCUGAUUGGAAAAUGAUAGUUCGCAUAGCUUCGUCCUUGUCAGGUUGGCUUAGGGGUUUGAUGAUUUUGGUUAUGUUGCUAACACCAAACAAUUUAUGGGCAUUGAGGAAUUGUCUUUGGCGAUCAUGAGGGAAAUAAGGAGCGAGAAUACAGUCAGGAGCGCACUUCCUACGCUGGUAUUUGCAGGCAGCACAAGCUUGGGUGGUGCCGUUGCCAAUCCUUGGAAUGCUCAUAUUGUUUGAUGUUGUUGUUAUUGUUUGCUUUUGUUGAUGGUGAGAUAUCGGUUGCGUUGCCGGCGGGGAUGGUGCAGUUUUCUUUAAUGGGGCUUCUUUUUUUUCUCUGGUGGUUGCAGAUCCUUCCUUUUCUCUGUGCAAGAAAACGAAUGAAAAUGGAAGAUGGAGAGCAAUGGGAGGAGAAAUAGACAUAUGUGUUUGAGACUAAGAGAGAGAAAAAGAAAUCGUUCUUAACAGAUUCAGUUACUGGUGAU